ensembl:lncRNA
GGGGGGGGGGCUUUAGUUACAAAAAGUUGAGAACCUCUGUUCUGGAUGAACACUUGGAAGCUGUAGUGUAACACAGCAAUUUAUUUUGCUCCUGAAACAUGAAUAGGGCUGGAGCCUGUGUUGGCUUAGCUAACUGGCAUCUGCAAAACAUAAUAUCAAUUAACUAGGGAAUGUUUGGUUUAGUGAAUCCAGCUUCUAAGAAAACCUCACCAUGUUGCGCUCACUUCAUGGUAUAGCUCUAUUCUUUGAAGCAGAAGUAGCGUAGAACAUAUUGGACUUACCUCAGAUGUAAAGUAAAUCAGAACAACGCCAUUUUCCACCUCCUUGCAUUUGAGCUACAUAGUUUGUUUGGAGGGGGGGUAGGGACAUGGACACUUCCACAUUCUUCCUUUGUUAGCAAUAUGUCAGCGAAUAUGUCUGUAUGUUGACUGAUCAAAAGUAAAUACUUGUAUAUACACAAUGUAACUCAUUAAAAGGUAAGAAGGGCUACUUAGUUUAAUGCUGAUGCUAUGAGCAGCCGUGUUGAUCUGAUGUCACUCACUGAAUUCAGUGGAACUCUGAACUUUUAUUUUUAGGGGUCAGGAAUUAGGAGUUACGUAUAAAGCAGGUUGAUUUAAGAGUCUGAUUUGGCCUGAGUGUUUGCUGGUGAGGGAUAACUCAAACCUUCUACGUUCUCAGUUUUUUUUUUUUGGCUAAAUAAACUAACAACAAUUUGAAUGUCUACUGUCACAUUUGUGCCUCUUUUACAACGUUGAAAAGCUGCCCAAAACAAACUAUGCACCGUACAAACCUAUAUAACUGUUUUUACAGUCUAACAUGACUACUAUUGCAAAACUCAUUCAUGUAUUCAAUAAUUUCUAGUAUCCACUGUGUUCUGGUCAGGACUGCUCUGGAUCCGGAGCCUAUUCCGGGAACACUGGAGGCGAGGCAGGAAUAAACCCUGAAUAGGAUACCGGUUCAUUGCAGGGCACCACACAUUUACACCCAGGGGCAAGUUAGAGUCACUGCCAUGUUUUAUGAGAGGCGGGAGGGAAAAGGGUGAAUCUGGACACAGGGAGAACGCCACACAGACUGUAAGACCAAUUUUAACACAAUUAUAUGACGGUCAGUUUCAAAAUCAUAUGAAAGGGACUGAGUCGUUAUCACCAUGGUUCAUCGACAAUUGUCUUCUUGUAAAUCAUAAUUUUUGAAAAUACUGUUGGAGUUGUUACAACCAGAUACACAUCUCCUGCCUAAUUUUCAGGCCGUCUAAUUUAAAAAUAAAUAAAUAAAACAAUAAAAAUAUUCACCUGCAUGGCCUGCGGAAGAAAAACAACCCUGAGUGAGAAUCAGUAAGACGUGUCCAUUAAAGCACAUCCUGCCAGAUUCCCGACCAACCAACACUCGUGCAUGCAAAUAAUUUGGUGCGCUUGAAAAUCACAGCAAGGGGAAACAACCUCAACCAAAUGAAAAAGAUUCAAUGUCACCAAAAAUAAAUAAAUAAAUAAACAAACAAACAAACAGACAAAACACACACCACACUCCAGUGCAGACUUUAGAAAAUUAACUAGAUGUGAAAACAGCCUUGACCCUCAAAAAUGAAAUAUUAAGACUGAUAUUCAGUGGGUAAGGUUUGGCACUUACGACUGUCAGUGAGUCACCACUGCGUCCUUAACGUCAAAUCUAUAUGCUUGAAUCGUUCAUCUAUAUGCUUGAAGUCACUUUUGUUAAAAGGAUCCACCUAAUAAAUUAAAUAAACAUUUCAAAGCAAAGCUUCAAGCUAAGGCUUACUGCAUUUAUUUUAACCACUUAUUUUACUUUUUACUUUAGGAUGCCUGCAAAGGCAGUGUGCUGCUUUAAAAGAGGAUAUCCUAAAAUUAGGGAUGGCACCAAUCCAAUACCCAGGAUCACUAGACAAAGAAAAAAGAAAAACGAAAGGUGGAUCAGAUAUUGAACAAAUAUGAUAAAUUCAACUCGAUCCUGAAACAAAUGGAAAACAUUGGAAUUGAAAAAGAUUUAUAUUUUUGGAUGCAUGUUUGGUUUUUUUUGGUGUUUCAGUACUAAAUAUUUUCAGUUUAUUAGUUUUAAAGAAAAAAAAUUUGGGAUGAUCAAUACUGAAGGUUUCCGUUUCAGAAAAAAGAAAGAAAGUACAUCAAGCCACCUUUAUUAAAAUGCUGAACAGUGACCAAGCAUCACCAAAUCUCCCAUACACUUAACAUCUUGCCAUAAAUACUACCUACUACCACUUUAGUGGCCAUAAUUAGUCUAUUUUUUUUUAUCAUCAUCCCAUAACUAAAUAUUAAACACAGAGCAUCACAUUAACCAUACAAAGACUUGUUAUUAUAAACAAUUUAACAUUGUGUAGGGUGUUAAAAGUGAAAUUUUUUUAUGGCACUUGAUUGAUUACAGUACUGUCUACUAAAACAAAUUAUGCAAUAAACUAAAUAUAAACCUCACCACUAUAUAAUAUUAAAAACUUAUAAGGAAAUAGGAAAAUAUUCUAAUUAUUGUGCUGUUUUUGCAUCACAUUAGUAAUAUCUGCAGUAAAUAGUGUGAGACAAGGUAAGUGUUGUGUUCUUCUCUUACUUGUUUUUUUUUUUUUUUGCUUCAUUUCCUCAACAUUAAGUCUUGUAAUAAAUAAGUUUAAUAAAGUGUCCUUUGACUUAAAGAAAGAAACAAACCAUCUCAUUUACAUAGCUGACCUCAGGAACGUAGUUUCCUCGCUUUGUACUAAAGCUUGCCAACAAGUAAGAGAAGUUUCUAGUUACUUAGCAUUUUGUCUUCAAACUUUGGACCACGCCUUCUGAGCAGGUAAAGCGUGGCUCUUUUGCGCAUGCCUCGAGCUCUUAAUUACUUUCUAACAGACUUACUUUUAUAUAUAUAUAUAUAUAUACACACAUACACACAUACAUACAUACAUACACACGCUACUGAAUGCAUUAGCCAACCUAAAGUUGCCUUGGUGUUACACAUGCUUCAAUUAAUGCUUUCAGAUCACAUUGUUGGUCUAAAUGUUAUGCGGAAAUGCCUUAUUCUAAUGAAUGAACACGGAUAUAGAUGCUACUCGGAAUGGUAACCGAAUCUCCAACAAAACCUGCAACAGAUGCAUCCCCCUUUGGACUAACUGUACCUUAUAUCUCUCUGAUGGGGAAAAUAUAUCUCGUGUAAACCGAAAUAUUUUCCUAUUAGCCCUCUACAGGUUGCACUAACAAGAGAAAACACAAUACAUUGGCCAGGUUGAACUGAAUCUGCUGAAAUGCAUCCUGUUGAUAAACAGUGCACUAUGAUAUCAAUCCGCACAAUAUAAUGUUUAAUAAGUGACCUAGAUACAUGCGCGAGACGAAUUGCGGUGUUCCUGAAACCUAACGCGCGCGCCUUUCGCUCUCGGAACUAAAUAUAGCAAAGUUGAAAAUACGGACCCAAUAAUUUUUUUAUUUUUUUGAAGACACCACCGCCAUCAAAAUGAACCGUCUGGACAAGUCACAAGUGCGUGUGUUUUUAAAAUCGGUUAGCUAGCUAGCCGCAAACGUUUGGCGGCGCACCUCUCGCGCACCUCUCUCUCACUCACUCACUAUCUCUCUCUCUCUCUCUCUCCGGUCGCACUAAGCGCGAGCGAAAUGUGGGUCACCAGGCCUCCGGACUCUUCACAAGCAAGCUUCAGGGACAAAAAAAUAAUAAGAGCGCUGUGCUGUAUUUUCAUGAUAUAUAUUUUUAAAUCAGCGUUAAAACAAAUACUGCACUAGACUUGUACCCGGUGUCUUAUUAUUUUGUAAAUCGUAUCAUGCAAAAAGCUGUCCUUACCCAGUUUAUUCGCCGUCAUGAGGGGAUCUCGCGCUCCUUGUUUUGGUUUAGACGCCUGCGUUGGAUUGACUGGAGUUACAAAAACAGCAGGGCCUACCCUGGGCUUCCCAAACGCAUGCGCAGUGGGAACUAAGCGGCAGUAGCAGCAGCCUACACAAUCUGGCAACACACACACACACACACAUAUACA